GCCCUCGUAGUCUAGUUUGGAUAGGACAGAGGCCUGCGGAGCCUCGAACUGGGGUUCAAAUCCCCACGAGGGCG
rnacentral:tRNA from 1 species